UACGUAGGGUGCAAGCGUUGUCCGGAUUUAUUGGGCGUAAAGAGCUCGUAGGCGGUCUGUCGCGUCGGAUGUUAAAACCCAGGGCUCAACCCUGGGCCUGCAUUCGAUACGGGCAGACUAGAGUGUGGCAGGGGAGACUGGAAUUCCUGGUGUAGCGGUGAAAUGCGCAGAUAUCAGGAGGAACACCGGUGGCGAAGGCGGGUCUCUGGGCCAAUACUGACGCUGAGGAGCGAAAGCGUGGGGAGCGAACAGG
rnacentral:rRNA from 1 species